UGGGUGUGUAAUGGAUGAAAGUCCUUUAGCUGACCAGUACUAAUAGAGCGUUUGGCUUAUCUUUAAUAAAGCAU
rnacentral:rRNA from 1 species